GUAAGUGGAGGCUGAAAAGAGGUCCAGACACUGUGCAUCUGGAGGGAUAAGUGUAGGUGGAUGAUCAAAGUCACAUAUCAGUGACUGGGGCCUAAUGGUGGGGAAUUCUGCCAGGGGACCCAGGGCAAGGCAGAUGGACCCCAGUGAACUAUGCAACACAGCCAGCAUCCAUGGCCAUUGCUUCCCUGCCUUCAACUACAGGGAAAUGGAAUGCGCAUUCACAAAAUGCGACUGUGUCUCACAAGAGAACUCCUGAGCUGCUUUAGAGUCUAAAGCAAUGCAGCGCCAGCUUAGACAAGUUCUCACAAGCCUUCGCAUCCCGCAUCCUUUGAAGGUCUGGAGCAAGACACAUUUGGAAUAUUCUCUUGGGAGAAGCAGUUUGAGCUUGUAGCACAGACACCCCUGGCCUUGCCUCCUCUGACCUUUCAUACCCAGACCCCAUCAAAGCUUCAGGAAACGAAAAGAGACAACCAUGUCCUGCACACAGAUAACAACAAGCUGAAAGACAAAGAGAGGAAUUUCUCUGAAGUUCUAUCCUGGACAUGGGAGGGGGACAAAGAGGGUGAGAAGAAGCUUGAAGCAAAGCAGAAGUGUGUUCUGGGGAGUCCGCAUUCAGCCUCAGAGCACAGCUGUGAGUGAGCCCGCGCGGGCCAGGUGCUGGUCCCCCACCUGCAUCCUUGGCGCGCAUCCUUUGGUAACCCCCACAAUGCACUGCAACACUGCUGUCCCGCACCUCCCCUUGGCUCGUGCCCAGUGUUAUAAGCCACGUUCACACUCCUGCAGCACAGAGAGCAACACAGGCAGGACAAGCUUUUGAGGACCCAGGGACCCACUGCUGACAGCCCUGGGUGCCUGGUAGGGAAAGAAAAUGUUUUGUUUGCCUUUGUGUUUUGUUCACAGAGCCUCCUUUCCCAGCCCCGUUCACCUUAACAGCAUCCCUUGAAGCCACAAAGCAGCUUAAGCAUGCUGCCUUUUAAAACUUUGAACGAGGCUGGUUGGAUUCCUUGUGUUAAAAUCGUUUUCCUCCUUUAAGAGCUGAAAGGCGCUUCCCUGCUCAGCCUGGUUUUAAAACCCUCACAACUAAGC
ensembl:lncRNA